rnacentral:rRNA from 1 species
GAGUUUGAUCAUGGCUCAGGAUGAACGCUAGCGGCAGGCCUAAUACAUGCAAGUCGAACGGCAGCACGGUGUAGCAAUACAUUGGUGGCGAGUGGCGCACGGGUGCAUAACACGUAUGUAAUUUGCCCAUAACUGGGAGAUAGCCUUCCGAAAGGAAGAUUAAUACCCCAUAACCCAGCGAGGUGGCAUCACUUUUCUGGUAAAGCUCCGGCGGUUAUGGAUAAGCAUGCGUCCGAUUAGCUAGUUGGCGAGGUAAAAGCUCACCAAGGCAACGAUCGGUAGGGGGUCUGAGAGGAUGAUCCCCCACACGGGUACUGAGACACGGACCCGACUCCUACGGGAGGCAGCAGUAAGGAAUAAUUGGACAAUGGAGGCAAACUCUGAUCCAGCCAAUGCCGCGUGAAAGGAUGAAAGGCGCU